rnacentral:lncRNA from 1 species
AUUCCAGAUGAGCAAGCAUUGAUGGCCAGCCUGUUUGACCCAUGGGCAAUGGACCUUCCAAAGGGAGCUAUCUAGCACUUUCCUCUCCACAGCAUGUGGCUUCAGGUGUCUGCCUAUCCUGCUCUAGCCAGAUGACCUGUCCCUUUGAUUUUGAACAGAGUCUCAGUGAUGACCUCAAUGGAUGACCCUCCCCUCUGCUGAAUGCCUCCCCUGGGGCUGAGCGAAGCUGCCCACCUCUUCUUCAGUGCUUUGUCUCCAAAGAAGUGGCUGAAGAUGAAGUCCUCAAAGUCAUCUACUUCAUCAUCAUCACCUGUCUGUUGCACAGCCACCUCCUCCAAGCUGUCCUCCAGGGCAUCCACAAAAUCCCGGAAGCGGAGGCGGUCAUGACGGAAGAUGCCAUCCUCACCAAAGAAAGCAGUGCUCCAGGCAGACCACACCAAUCAAUCACAGGUGAUACCAUGUAUGUUUCAUGUACCAUGUGGAACAGCCAGGGGCACCAUGGGCUGAGGUGGGCCGGCCUCCCGGCCCCGCCGUCUCCGCAGACCCUCCAUGUCCACGUCGGUGUCAUCGUCACUGCUGGAGCAGCGGCCCUCCUCCCUGAUCCAAGCUAGGGGAAAGGACAGGGACAGGGCAGUGAGGUGACUGGAGAGAUGGGGAGACACAGGGAGAGAGGGGAAUCAGAGGAAGGCACAGGGAGGGAGGUCGUCAGCCCUGACCCCAGAGAGGGGCACAUGAAGACC